rnacentral:rRNA from 1 species
GAUGAACGCUGGCGGCGUGCUUAACACAUGCAAGUCGAACGGAAAGGCCCAAGCUUGCUUGGGUACUCGAGUGGCGAACGGGUGAGUAACACGUGGGUGAUCUGCCCUGCACUUCGGGAUAAGCCUGGGAAACUGGGUCUAAUACCGGAUAGGACCACAUUUUGGAUGGUGUGGUGGAAAGUUUUUCGGUGUGGGAUGAGCUCGCGGCCUAUCAGCUUGUUGGUGGGGUAAUGGCCUACCAAGGCGUCGACGGGUAGCCGGCCUGAGAGGGUGUACGGCCACAUUGGGACUGAGAUACGGCCCAGACUCCUACGGGAGGCAGCAGUGGGGAAUAUUGCACAAUGGGCGCAAGCCUGAUGCAGCGACGCCGCGUGGGGGAUGACGGCCUUCGGGUUGUAAACUCCUUUUGCUAGGGACGAAGCGUUAUGUGACGGUACCUGGAGAAGAAGCACCGGCUAACUACGUG